rnacentral:rRNA from 1 species
GAUGAACGCUGGCGGCGUGCUUAACACAUGCAAGUCGAACGGAAAGGCUCCUGCUUGCAGGGGUACUCGAGUGGCGAACGGGUGAGUAACACGUGGGUGAUCUGCCCUGCACUUCGGGAUAAGCCUGGGAAACUGGGUCUAAUACCGGAUAGGACCACAUUUUGGAUGGUGUGGUGGAAAGUUUUUCGGUGUGGGAUGAGCUCGCGGCCUAUCAGCUUGUUGGUGGGGUAAUGGCCUACCAAGGCGUCGACGGGUAGCCGGCCUGAGAGGGUGUACGCCACAUUGGAACUGAGAUACGGCCCAGACUCCUACGGGAGGCAGCAGUGGGGAAUAUUGCACAAUGGGCGCAAGCCUGAUGCAGCGACGCCGCGUGGGGGAUGACGGCCUUCGGGUUGUAAACUCCUUUCGCUAGGGACGAAGCGCAAGUGACGGUACCUGGAGAAGAAGCACCGGCUAACUACG